CCCACCUCACUCAUCUACCCCACUCACCUGACCACCUCCAGGCCCCACUCUAUCCAGACCUGGUCACCUCUAAUGCCCACCCCUCCUUCCGGCCACGGCUCUGCCCUUCGACUCCGCCCCGCCCUCACCUGGUAGCCUGCCACCCGCGCCUCACCCUCCAACCCCUUCCUCACCUGGGUGCCCCCUGGCCCUGCCCCCAGACUCAAACGCUGACUUUGCUGCCGCCGCAGAGAGACACUGUAUACCGCGCCGUCCUCUGUCUCCUCACCCCAGUCCUGCAGCGGUGCCUGGAUGCGAAGUUGGGCUCAAGAUGAAGCAGGAAGAUGGUCCCGUGCGCCGCAGCGCCCCACCUCCCCGGUAAACUCAAGCCUGGACCUGCCAGUUUCAUCCACCCACUUCCAGGCCAGAGUCGGAGGAACCAGCCACUUCACUGGGUCAGGGGCCCAGAGGAACGAGAGAGAGGAACCCAGUCACACUACUGAUUCAGACCACUGCUACUAUUCAGCUCCCAAGGAUGCUGGCCCCUGCCUCCUGGAGCUUCUUCACCCUCACCUGGAGCAGGUCUGCCAGCUGUAGUUGUAGCACCCUGGUCUCCUCUCGGAGCUGGUUGAUGGUCUCCUGAUUCUUCCUGAUGUUCCACUGGGUGCUCUCAUAAAAGGCCUUCCGGUCACCCUCUGGGGUCAGGUGAGGUGGGCAGGCACAAGUAGAGCAUCAUAGAGGGGAGGGACAAUUUUCGUAAUUGUCAACAUUAUAACAAUAUUUUACUUUGGGCAUACGUUAUGUAUUGGAUGCUGGACUAAUAAUUUCCUAUUCAUCAAAUACCCUGUACCAAUAGGUAUAUAUCUAUAUAUAUGUGUGUGUAGGUACCAUACCCAUUUUAGAGGUUAGAAGACUCAGGUAUAUUAGGUUGUUCAAGGUCAUAAGCAGUUUGACUCCCCAGCCCAUACCUUCAACCACCAUGUAAAAUUACCUUCUAAUAAUAAAAUAAUAAUGGUUUGCACUAGGAUUUCCCAGCCUUGGCUGACAUUUGGGAUAAUUAUUUGCUGUGGUGAGCUGUCCUGUGCAUUGUCAGAUGUUGAGCAGCAUCCUUGGCCUCUACCCACUAGAUGUCAGUAAAACAUCCCCUCCCCCCAACAAUGUGACAAACCAAAAUGUCUCCAGACAUUGCCAAAUGUCCCCUGGGAACCAAAACAGCCCUUUUCCAUUGAGAACCACUGGUUUACAAUAAAUAGCAUUAC